rnacentral:rRNA from 1 species
UGGGAUAACACCUGGAAACAGAUGCUAAUACCGGAUAACAACACUAGACGCAUGUCUAGAGUUUGAAAGAUGGUUCUGCUAUCACUCUUGGAUGGACCUGCGGUGCAUUAGCUAGUUGGUAAGGUAACGGCUUACCAAGGCAAUGAUGCAUAGCCGAGUUGAGAGACUGAUCGGCCACAUUGGGACUGAGACACGGCCCAAACUCCUACGGGAGGCAGCAGUAGGGAAUCUUCCACAAUGGACGAAAGUCUGAUGGAGCAACGCCGCGUGAGUGAAGAAGGGUUUCGGCUCGUAAAGCUCUGUUGGUAGUGAAGAAAGAUAGAGGUAGUAACUGGCCUUUAUUUGACGGUAAUUACUUAGAAAGUCACGGCUAACUACGUGCCAGCAGCCGCGGUAAUACGUAGGUGGCAAGCGUUGUCCGGAUUUAUUGGGCGUAAAGCGAGUGCAGGCGGUUCAAUAAGUCUGAUGUGAAAGCCUUCGGCUCAACCGGAGAAUUGCAUCAGAAACUGUUGAACUUGAGUGCAGAAGAGGAGAGUGGAACUCCAUGUGUAGCGGUGGAAUGCGUAGAUAUAUGGAAGAACACCAGUGGCGAAGGCGGCUCUCUGGUCUGCAACUGACGCUGAGGCUCGAAAGCAUGGGUAGCGAACAGGAUUAGAUACCCUGGUAGUCCAUGCCGUAAACGAUGAA